UACGUAGGUGGCAAGCGUUGUCCGGAAUUAUUGGGCGUAAAGCGCGCGCAGGCGGUCCUUUAAGUCUGAUGUGAAAGCCCACGGCUCAACCGUGGAGGGUCAUUGGAAACUGGGGGACUUGAGUGCAGAAGAGGAGAGUGGAAUUCCACGUGUAGCGGUGAAAUGCGUAGAGAUGUGGAGGAACACCAGUGGCGAAGGCGACUCUCUGGUCUGUAACUGACGCUGAGGCGCGAAAGCGUGGGGAGGCAAACAGG
rnacentral:rRNA from 1 species